GACGAACGCUGGCGGCGUGCCUAAUACAUGCAAGUAGAACGCUGAAGGAGGAGCUUGCUUCUCUGGAUGAGUUGCGAACGGGUGAGUAACGCGUAGGUAACCUGCCUGGUAGCGGGGGAUAACUAUUGGAAACGAUAGCUAAUACCGCAUAAUAGUAGAUGUUGCAUGACAUUUGCUUAAAAGGUGCAAUUGCAUCACUACCAGAUGGACCUGCGUUGUAUUAGUUAGUUGGUGAGGUAACGGCUCACCAAGGCAACGAUACAUAGCCGACCUGAGAGGGUGAUCGGCCACACUGGGACUGAGACACGGCCCAGACUCCUACGGGAGGCAGCAGUAGGGAAUCUUCGGCAAUGGACGGAAGUCUGACCGAGCAACGCCGCGUGAGUGAAGAAGGUUUUCGGAUCGUAAAGCUCUGUUGUAAGAGAAGAACGAGUGUGAGAGUGGAAAGUUCACACUGUGACGGUAUCUUACCAGAAAGGGACGGCUAACUACGUG
rnacentral:rRNA from 1 species